rnacentral:snRNA from 1 species
GUGCUUCAGCAGCACAUAUACUAAAAUUGGAAUGAUACAGAGAUUAGCACGGCCUCUGCACAAGGAUGAUGUGCAAAUUCGUGAAGCAUUUCAUAUUUGU